UGUCACGGUAUGUUCUGUAUUGCUGAGCAAAUCCACCUCAGCUGAAUUUCAGCUACAGAUGAAAAGACACCCAAAUAACAAAUUUACAGCAAUCUUAGACACUUUUGGGACAGAGCCGAUAGGUAACAUUAUCACUGAAACAUGCAUAUGGAAUCUAGCCUUUUAAUAUAUCCCAACCAUUUUAAUGAAGAAGAAAUGAACAAUUACAGAAGAUGUUUGUUCAGUCUGGUCAAUUAAAUGUGCAAGUAUAAAACACUGGGUGGCACGCUUCCAGCAGUCUCUGUUCCUUCUUCUGCAUAACAAGCCUUCCUGAACCAUUUCCCAUCAAACAGUCUGUUUUUCAAUCUUAUCUCUUAAAACAGUGGUUUUCCACUGCCAUCAUAUGAAAGAGUACUGGCUUUCCAAUGGAUCAGCCUCCCUUUAGUAUCUGACAGGACGUGUCUUGUUUCCUUCAAUGCAUUUGAAGAACAGCAUCACUGUUAUGAUCUCCCCACAUGGAAGUCAAGAAUACAACAUCCAUCGUAUUUCCAUUGUAUUUUUCUUUAUACUUCUGGUUACUCAGACAUGCUACAAAGUAGGCCCUUCGCUGGGACAUAGAACGGGUUGCUCCUCCUACCUAGUUGUUGAUGAUUCCUGUGGGGGGAUAGAAUAGAGAUAGUAUAGAAAGUAAUCUUACCCCUAAGGAGUGGCAGCUGGGGCAAUUAUCAAAAUGAGGAGGAGGCCUGACUUCAGCAGGCCACAGCUGUAACUAAUAAGAAAAAGAGCGCUAUAAAAGAGUGGGUUGGUUUGUUAAGAGAACACACCCCAAAGUGGGAAAGGAACUGGAGUCAGUCAGCUACCUGGUGAGAGAAAAAGGGUGUGCUUGGAGGAGCUUCUCAGCAGAAAGCACCAAUAAAGGAUGCUUUCCUGUGUAUCCUUUGAUGGAAGGGGAAGGAGCACUGCAUGGCCCAGGCUCUACUGUCAGACCCAUUGCCUUCAUCCUGAGGUCUCUUAGGUGCUGCUAUGUGCAGGUGGCCACAAGCAGACUGCCCACAAAAGGAAACCUGUAUCCCCACCCAGCUUUCUGGGUUAUAGAAAGGCUGAUCUAUAGUCCUGAAGCAAUGAAGAAGCUGUACACCAAAGCUGGAAAAGUGGCUUACAUUUUAAGAGGAGUUCUCCAAACCUGAAGAUUACAUGCACUGGGGUCUCCAGCUGCUCUGAAGAGCAGCUUCCUGGUUGGAAUGCUGAGUCCAUCAUCCUGCCACCUCUGCCAAGGAGAAAGAGAUGAGCUGGCCUCUUCUUAGAGCUCAUGGAGAAGUGAACUAGCUGUCUGUUGGAAAACCCAGAUUAUUUCAAAAGCAAAAUGUCCAGUUAGGGUGCAAUUCCUGAAGGUGUUUUCCAC